UGAUACGCUGGCGGCGUGCAUACACAUGCAGUCGAACGAUGAAACUUUAAUGAACCCUUCGGGGAGAAUUAAAGCGGAUUAGUGGCGAACGGGUGAGUAACGCGUGAGUAACCUGCCUUACACAAGGGGAUAGCCUUUGGAAACGAAGAAUAAUACCCUAUAAAACCAUAAAAGCACAUGCAAUUAUGGUCAAAGUGAUAGCCGGCCGGUAAGGAAUGGGACCUUUGCCGGUCUCUGGAAUUANCUAGAGUUGGGUGUAGAAUAUAAAAGCCCCACACCAAGGGGGAACAGAGUCAACCGAUGAUACCCCCGNGGUCUGUUAGAAGAGAUGUGCUACGGGGCCACNNUUGGGACUGAGACACGGCCCAGACUCCUACGGGAGGCAGCAGUGGGGAAUUUUGCACAAUGGGGGAAACCCUGAUGCAGCGGCGCCGCGUGAUUUAGAAGUGCCUUCGGGUUGUAAAAAUCUUUUGUAUAGGAAGAAAAUGACAGUACUAUACGAAUAAGGUCCGGCUAAUUACGUGCCAGCAGCCGCGGUAAUACGUAAGGACCGAGCGUUGCCCGGAAUCAUUGGGCGUAAAGGGUACGUAGGCGGCUAGAAAAGUUAGAAGUCAAAGGCUAUAGCUCAACUAUAGUAAGCUUCUAAAACUAUUUAGCUUGAGAGAUGGAAGGGAAAGUGGAAUUCCUAGUGUAGCGGUGGAAUGCGCAGAUAUUAGGAGGAAUACCGGUGGCGAAGGCGACUUUCUGGCCAUUUUCUGACGCUGAGGUACGAAAGCGUGGGUAGCAAACAGGAUUAGAUACCCUGGUAGUCCACGCCGUAAACGAUGAGUGUUAGGUGUCUGGAGUCAAAUCUGGGUGCCGCAGCAAACGCAUUAAACACUCCGCCUGGGGAGUACGCACGCAAGUGUGAAACUCAAAGGAAUUGACGGGGACCCGCACAAGCAGCGGAGCAUGUGGUUUAAUUCGACGCAACGCGAAGAACCUUACCAAGUCUUGACAUAUUUUAGAAGCAAUUAGAGAUAAUUGCCUAUAUCUUCGGAUAACUAAAAUACAGGUGGUGCAUGGUUGUCGUCAGCUCGUGUCGUGAGAUGUUGGGUUAAGUCCCAUAACGAGGCGCCCAACCCUUAUGUGUUAGUAACNAUCAUUAAGUUGGGGANUUUAGUAAUACUGCCGGUGACAAACCGGAGGAAGGUGGGGAUGACGUCAAAUCAUCAUGCCCUUUAUGACUUGGGCUACACACGUGCUACAAUGGCAGGUACACAGGGAAGCAAGACUGUGAAGUUAAGCAAACUCAAAAAGCCUGUCCCAGUUCGGAUUGCACUCUGCAACUCGAGUGCAUGAAGUUGGAGUGCUAUAUCGCAGAUCAGAUGCUGCGUGACUCC
rnacentral:rRNA from 1 species